rnacentral:rRNA from 1 species
GGAACGGAUGCUAAUACCCCAUAGGUGGAUUGGUCGCAUGACGAAUUCAUUAAAGGUGGCUUUGCUACCACUCAUGGAUAGCCUCGCGGCGUAUUAGCUAGUUGGUAAGGUAAUGGCCUACCAAGGCGGCGACGGGUAGCCGGACUGAGAGGUUGGUCGGCCACAUUGGGACUGAGAUACGGCCCAG